rnacentral:rRNA from 1 species
CAGCAGCCACGGUAAUACGGAGGGGGCUAGCGUUGUUCGGAAUUACUGGGCGUAAAGCGCACGUAGGCGGCUUUGUAAGUCAGAGGUGAAAGCCCGGGGCUCAACCCCGGAAUUGCCUUUGAGACUGCAUCGCUUGAAUCCAGGAGAGGUGAGUGGAAUUCCGAGUGUAGAGGUGAAAUUCGUAGAUAUUCGGAAGAACACCAGUGGCGAAGGCGGCUCACUGGACUGGUAUUGACGCUGAGGUGCGAAAGCGUGGGGAGCAAACAGGAUUAGAUACCCCAGUAGUCCCUGUCUCUUAUAC